UACAGAGGGUGCAAGCGUUGUUCGGAAUUAUUGGGCGUAAAGCGCGUGUAGGCGGCCAUGCAAGUCGGGUGUGAAAGCCCUCAGCUCAACUGAGGAAGUGCGCCCGAAACUGCACGGCUUGAGUACCGGAGAGGAUGGCGGAAUUCCCCAAGUAGAGGUGAAAUUCGUAGAUAUGGGGAGGAACACCGGUGGCGAAGGCGGCCAUCUGGCCGGAUACUGACGCUGAGACGCGAAAGCGUGGGUAGCAAACAGG
rnacentral:rRNA from 1 species